rnacentral:rRNA from 1 species
GACGAACCGUGCAAACGUUGUUCGGAAUCACUGGGCUUAAAGGGCGCGUCGGCGGGCACGCAAGUCGAAGGUGAAAUCCCACGGCUCAACCGUGGAACUGCCGGGCAUACUGGCGAUCUUGAGGCAUUCAGGGGCGAGCGGAACAAAUGGUGGAGCGGUGAAAUGCGUAGAUAUCAUUUGGAACGCCAAUGGUGAAAACAGCUCGCUGGGAAUGAUCUGACGCUGAGACGCGAAAGCCAGGGGAGCGAACGGG